UACAGAGGUCUCAAGCGUUGUUCGGAUUCAUUGGGCGUAAAGGGUGUGUAGGUGGCGCGCUAAGUCGGGUGCGAAAUUUCGGAGCUUAACUCCGAAACUGCAUUCGAUACUGGCGUGCUUGAGGACUGGAGAGGAGACUGGAAUUCAUGGUGUAGCAGUGAAAUGCGUAGAGAUCAUGAGGAAGACCAGUGGCGAAGGCGGCAUCCUGGACCAACACUGACGCUGAGGAGCGAAAGCCAGGGGAGCAAACGGG
rnacentral:rRNA from 1 species